rnacentral:rRNA from 1 species
UACGUAGGGUGCAAGCGUUGUCCGGAAUUAUUGGGCGUAAGAGCUCGUAGGCGGUUCGUCGCGUCGGCUGUGAAACCCGGUAGCUACACUCCGGGCCUGACAGUCGAUACGGGCGGACUUGAGUUCGGCAGGGGAGACUGGAAUUCCGUGGUGUAGCGGUGAAAUGCGCAGAGUAUCAGGAGGAACACCGGUGGCGAAGGCGGGAUCUCUGGGCCGGAUACUGACGCUGAGGAGCGAAAGCGUGGGGAGCGAACAG